AGGCUCAUGAAGACACCAAAGGAGACAUCCCCAGCAGUCGGCUGGCUGGUUUCAGUUUGGUCCCCUUCAAGGAGUCAGGG
ensembl:miRNA Mir133c microRNA 133c